rnacentral:misc_RNA from 1 species
GCAUCUCAUAGACUGAACAAGUAUACUUGUGACUUAGGUCACUGGCUAGAAAAUUAUGAGUCGUACCGUCAGCUUCUAUUUUGCUUUGACCUGGAGACUUUUUAAGACCCAUUCCAUACAUCUUCUGUCUCGUGAUUACAACAUCUUGCCACCUCUUUUCAGUUGCAUAUAGAUUUGACAAGAGCACGAAGUAGCCAGCAGCUCUAUCAGCUUCAAG